rnacentral:rRNA from 1 species
GAUGAACGCUGGCGGCGUGCCUAAUACAUGCAAGUCGAACGAACCCAUCAGGAGCUUGCUCCCCCGGCGUCAUCACCCGUCGGGAGCUUCACUUGUGGUUAACCUACCUCUCCGACUGGGAUACUAUCGGCAGACCGGGGCUUCUACCGGAUGAUUUAUUGCCCUGCAUUGUUCCCUCGUUAAAGACGCUUUUUGUUUCACUAAUAGCUUGCUCCGCGCCGCAUCCGCUAGUUGGUAGGGUAACGGCUUACCAAGGCGACGAUGCUUACCCGACCUGAGCGGGUGAUCGGCCACACGGGAACUGAGACACGGUCCAGACUCCUACGGUAGGCAGCAGUAGGGAAUCUUCCGCGAGGGGGGAGAGCCUGACAGUGCAACGCCGCGGGAGGGAUGAAGGAGUUCGGAUCGGAAAACUCUGUUAGUAGGAGAGAACAAAUGUGUAAGUAACUAUGCACAUCUUGACGGUACCGAGUCAGAAAGCCACGGCUAACUACGUG